UCCGGCGCGCGGCGGGAGCCUCUUUCCGCCGGCAACAUGGCGGAGCGCGGCGUGGAGCUGGGCUUCGCCGAGGCGGCGGGGCCCGACAGCGCCUGGCGGCUGCGCAGCGCCUACUUCCCCAGCAAGGUCGGGGGGCGGCCGGCGUGGCUGGGCGAGGCCGGGCUGCCGGGCCCCGCCACCCUGCGCUGCGGCCGCUGCCAGCAGCCCUGCGCCUUCCUGCUGCAGCUGUACGCGCCGCUGCCCCACCGCCCCGACGCCUUCCACCGCACCCUCUUCGUCUUCGCCUGCCGCGACGCCGCCUGCUACCGCCUGCCGGGUCCGCGGGGGCCCCUCUGCGUGUUCCGGAACCAGCUGCCGCGGCGGAACGACACCUACCCCGAGGAGCCGCCCCCCGAGGAGCCGCCGCCGGGCCCCGCCGCCGCGCUCCCCCGCCGGCUCGGCUGCGGCGCCGCGCUCUGCCGCGUCUGCGGCUGCCUGGGGCCCCGCGCCUGCGGGCGCUGCCGACGCGCCGCCUACUGCGGCCCCGAGCACCAGGCGCUGGACUGGCGGCAGGGGCACCGGCGGGUCUGCGGGCAGCUGGCCGCCGGAGAUGACUCGGAGAGUGCAAUUCCAGAGCAUAAUGAAUUCCUAUUUCCAGAAUAUGAAAUUUUGAUAGAACCUGAGGAACCAGAAUUUCCUGCUGAUGGCAGUGUGGAUUCUGAUGAUGGUGAAGAAACUGUAGAUACAUCAAAGGACCCAAAAGAACAAGAGGAACUCAGAGCUACAGGCAGUGCAGGUGAAACAUUUCAGUCCUUGGAUGAAGAGACAUUGGAAGCGAUGGCAAAACAGGAGACUGAAGAAGACAAGAUCUUCCGAAUGUUUAAAGAACGAGUAGCUGCUGAACCAGAACAGAUUAUAAGAUACUGCAGAGGAGGAGAAGGCCCAGUCUGGGUAUCAGGUGAAAAUAUUCCUGAAGAAAAAGAUAUCCCAGAUUGUUUAUGUGGUGCCAAAAGGGUUUUUGAAUUCCAGAUUAUGCCACAGCUCCUGAACCACCUUCAGGUUGACAGCCUUGGAGAGAGCAUUGACUGGGGAACACUAGUGGUGUACACCUGUGCUGACAACUGUGGUGAGGGAAGUGAAUACCUGGAAGAGUUCAUAUGGAAACAAGACUUCUCUGCAGGCUCUAUUUAAGGUCCCUUGAGUUACUACGUUGCGUCAUCUAAACAGAAUACGUGCCUUGUUUCAGUGCAUCUCUGCACUUUGCAAACAGGAGCUUUUACUUCAACCUGUCAACGAAGCCAGAUGCUUUUGUUCAGUUAAUUUCACUUCAUAUCUCAGUUCUGAAUGUUUAAAUAAAGAUGAAAUAUUUUUGGA